rnacentral:rRNA from 1 species
UACGAAGGGGGCUAGCGUUGUUCGGAAUCACUGGGCGUAAAGCGCACGCAGGCGGAUCGUUAAGUCAGGGGUGAAAUCCCGAGGCUCAACCUCGGAACUGCCUUUGAUACUGGCGAUCUUUGAGUCCGGGAGAGGUGAGUGGAACUGCGAGUGUAGAGGUGAAAUUCGUAGAUAUUCGCAAGAACACCAGUGGCGAAGGCGGCUCACUGGCCCGAUACUGACGCUGAGGUGCGAAAGCGUGGGGAGCAAACAGG